rnacentral:rRNA from 1 species
CCUACGGGUGGCAGCAGUGAGGAAUAUUGGUCAAUGGCCGAGAGCCUGAACCAGCCAAGUCGCGUGAGGGAAGACGGCCCUACGGGUUGUAAACCUCUUUUGUCGGGGAGCAAAGCGAGUCACGUGUGACUCAUUGAGAGUACCCGAAGAAAAAGCAUCGGCUAACUCCGUGCCAGCAGCCGCGGUAAUACGGAGGAUGCGAGCGUUAUCCGGAUUUAUUGGGUUUAAAGGGUGCGCAGGCGGAGGUGCAAGUCAGCGGUAAAAUUGCGGGGCUCAACCCCGUCCUGCCGUUGAAACUGCAUUUCUUGAGUGCGCGAGAAGUAUGCGGAAUGCGUGGUGUAGCGGUGAAAUGCAUAGAUAUCACGCAGAACUCCGAUUGCGAAGGCAGCAUACCGGCGCGCAACUGACGCUCAUGCACGAAAGCGUGGGUAUCGAACAGGAUUAGAUACCCCAGUAGUC